CCUACGGGCGGCAGCAGUGAGGAAUAUUGGUCAAUGGCCGAGAGGCUGAACCAGCCAAGUCGCGUGAGGGAAGACGGCCCUACGGGUUGUAAACCUCUUUUGUCGGGGAGUAAAGCGAACCACGUGUGGUUCAUUGAGUGUACCCUAUGAAAAAGCAUCGGCUAACUCCGUGCCAGCAGCCGCGGUAAUACGGAGGAUUCGAGCGUUAUCCGGAUUUAUUGGGGUUAAAGGGUGCGGAGGUGGAUGGUUAAGUCAGGGGUCAAAGUUGGGGGCUCAACCCUGUAAUUGCAGUUGAAACUGGAUGCCUUGAGUGCACGAGAGGUAUGCGGAAUGCGUGGUGUAGCGGUGAAAUGCUUAGAUAUCACGAAGAACUCCGAGUGCGAAGGCAGCAUACCGGCGCGCAACUGACACUGAUGCACGAAAGCGUGGGUAUCGAACAGGAUUAGAUACCCCAGUAGUC
rnacentral:rRNA from 1 species